rnacentral:rRNA from 1 species
AGUGAACGCUGGCGGUAGGCCUAACACAUGCAAGUCGAACGGCAGCACAGGAGAGCUUGCUCUCUAGGUGGCGAGUGGCGGACGGGUGAGGAAUACAUCGGAAUCUGCCCAGUCGUGGGGGAUAACGUAGGGAAACUUACGCUAAUACCGCAUACGACCUUCGGGUGAAAGAGGGGGAUCGCAAGACCUCUCGCGAUUGGAUGAGCCGAUGUCGGAUUAGCUAGUUAGCGGGGUAAUGGCCCACCAAGGCGACGAUCCGUAGCUGGUCUGAGAGGAUGAUCAGCCACACUGGAACUGAGACACGGUCCAGACUCCUACGGGAGGCAGCAGUGGGGAAUAUUGGACAAUGGGCGCAGGCCUGAUCCAGCCAUACCGCGUGGGUGAAGAAGGCCUUCGGGUUGUAAAGCCCUUUUGUUGGGAAAGAAAUCUUUCAGGCUAAUACCCUGGGAGGAUGACGGUACCCAAAGAAUAAGCACCGGCUAACUUCGUG